UACGUAUGUGGCAAGCGUUGUCCGGAUUUAUUGGGUUUAAAGGGUGCGUAGGCGGUUUUGUAAGUCAGUGGUGAAAUACUCCAGCUUAACUGGAGGGGUGCCAAUGAUACUGCAGAACUUGAGUACAGAUGAGGUAGGCGGAAUUGACGGUGUAGCGGUGAAAUGCAUAGAUAUCGUCAAGAACACCGAUAGCGAAGGCAGCUUACUGGGCUGUAACUGACGCUGAGGCACGAAAGUGUGGGGAUCAAACAGG
rnacentral:rRNA from 1 species